GGUUGGAACUGAGGGGUCCGAUGUGGGCGAAUCACGACUGGGCAUGCUUGAAUUACUUGCAAAUCUCUCACCCAUAAUGCUUCCUCCUGACACAGUCCCCACCUGUCAACUGAUCCUUCCCCGCUUGCCUCCUCGCUCCCUCCAGACGGAACUAUCUCUGGUUCCUCCUCCUCAUCCCCCCAUGCCACCCCCCCUGCAGCCCUAGUGAGCCCGGUUCCCUGUGGGGGGGUGGUGCUGGGUGGUGGAGGUGGCAAGAGGGAGGGGCCACUCCCCUCCCUCGUGCCGGCAGCUGGGGUGGGGCAGCGCUCGGACCGGAAAAGACGGAUCAGUUUCCGCAAUGCUCAAUGAAAAUAUCUGUGAUGAAGAGCUUUUAAAAUGAAUACAAUGAAGAGCUUUUAAAAUGGCAAUUAAAUUCUACGAUAAAAACACAGCAGAAGUGAUUUUUCCCACCUUCACCUGUGUGGCUCAGGCCCCUGAGCAGGGAGUGAGGAGAGGGGAGGGAGAGAGGGGUGGUCACAGUGUCCCUGUCCCUUGGCUUGUGACAGACUGGGGGGAGAAAAGGGGUGAACUAACUCAGUGUGCUAUGGCAGCAAAAGCACAGCUUCCUGAUGAGACUUUAAAUGUUCCAGUUUAAGGCAGGACAUCAUGAAAAUCGGACCAGCUUUGAAAAAAUCGUGGCAAACAAUCUGCCAGAUGUAGUGAGAUCCAGCCUCCUUCCUCAGAGUGAAGAACAGAAGGAAAACCUCCUUGUCAGAGAAAACCCUCUCCCUGAGGUACCCAGGCAAUGUUCUCCAGCACUUGAUGAAUGCCUCCUGUGGAUCCUGAGCGUCCUCAGCUCUUACCAUCUUGAAUGAUUACUGUAGCAUCAAUUAAUAAAUAUGACAGCAAAAAAAAUGCAA